GGAUGAGAGGGCGAUCUGGCUGUGACAUCUGUCACCCCAUUGAUCGCCAGGGUUGAUUCAGCUGAUCUGGCUGGCUAAAAGGGUAUCCCCUUCCUCCCUCAUCACUACACGUGCAUCCCUCCCGAAGCUGCGCGCUCAGUGGAAGAGGACGAUGUUCCAGGUAUAGGAGUGUACCAAGGUCUCCAGUCUUCAGUCCCGGGUAUACGAUAGCUGCGCUCCCCUGCUAAAACCUCCAAUUCACAAAACAAAAUUAUUAAACAAAAUCAUUACAAUAUCUGCCAUAAAGAUGUGUAUAU
rnacentral:snRNA from 1 species